AUGAUGUUUCUAUGCAGUGUCUGGUUCAUUCUUCUCUUUUCAGGUGAUGCGGGUGGAGAAGGAAUAGCUCCCCUCUCCUCAUCUAAACUUGCUAACAAUGGUGACUCCAUUACUUUGACCUGCAAUUACAAUGGGUCUUACAGCAGUGAUUCUCUCCUGUGGUAUCGGCAAUACAGCAGCUCCAAACCUCAGUUUUUGUUUCUGGUCAGUGAAUCCAAACUUGAGCAGCCAGCUGACCCUCCAAUACCUGGAGUGUCUGCUAAAGUAAAUGAUGAGAAAAACAGUGUGGAUCUGAAGAUCUCCUCUGCUUCAGUAUCAGACUCUGCAAUGUACUACUGUGCCCUGCAGCCCACAGUGACAGGAAACACAUCAACACUGUACAAAAUUAAGGGGAAAACAACUAACUACACUGAUGAACUACACUAAACAACAAAUGAAACCUUUAUACUGUAUGACAGUGUCUUUAUUGUAUGAUGCUCUAAAAAUAGAUUUGCACAAUGCUGCAGAAACAAAAUGGACAUAACCAGAAAGCUUAGCAGAAGGUCAAGCAGUUUUAAAUUGUGUAUCAGGUAAAAUCAAAUGAGCAUUUCUAUAAUACAAGGUUUUCUCUAUCACGUAUUUCUUGAGAUUAGACUGCUACUUGUAAAUCUAGUGGUAAAAGCUAUGAAAGAAAAACAUGUUGAUAAAUAUCUACUAAAGAGACAGACCCUGGUCUCAGAAAUACAGUCAUCUUGAUUUUGUCAUCCAAUACAUCAACCAUUAUGUUUAUCUUCAAACUUAUUAGUUCAUGGAUUCAUCUGGGUGAGAUUAACUCAUGCAAACAUAUUUUUAUUCAUUUAAAUUAAUAUAAAUCAUUUUGAAUUGAACUGGAAUAAUAUUAAAUGUCAUUUUAUUUCAUUACUCGUCCCUAACCAAGCUAUUUAUUUGUUAGAUGCUCAGAGGCAAAUGCAAGCUUCCCACUAUUGCCAUUUAUGAGCACUGUUGUAGGUAAAAAUGUAACCAUAUUCUGUAGUUACAAAAAAUUCAUUGGAAGAGUGGUGAAUGCACAGUGGUACAGAAAGUACGCUGGAUCUUCAUUCUGGAGUUCUUUAUCACAAUCUAUCAACAUGGUCUUUGGCAGCGGCAAAACCAUCUGUUAUCUCACACCUUUCAGGCAAAGCUGCCACAGUACAACUGGGCCAGUGCGCUCACCACACACCAGCUACAGGUGGGGAGGACAGAGAGUCAUAGAGCCAAUCAAGUGGAUGGGGAUUAUUAGGAGGCCAUGAUUAAGAAGGGCCAGUGGCAGCAAUUUGGCCAGGACACCGGGGUUACACCCCUACUCUUUACGAGAAGUGCCACAGGAUUUUUAAUGACCAGAGAGAGUCAGGACCUCAGUUUAAGGUCUCAUCCGAAACAUGGUGCUUUUUGACAGUAUAGUGUCCCC
ensembl:lncRNA